GCCUGGGUGGCUCAGUUGGUUGAGCAUCCGACUUCGGCUCAGGUCAUGAUCUCACGGUUCGUGAGUUCAAGCCCCGCAUCGGGCU
rnacentral:tRNA from 1 species